rnacentral:rRNA from 1 species
UGGGGAAUAUUGCACAAUGGAGGGAACUCUGAUGCAGCAACGCCGCGUGAGUGAAGAAGGAUUUCGGAUCGUAAAGCUCUGUUGUUAAGGAAGAACGAGUGUGAGAAUGGAAAGUUCAUGCUGUGACGGUACUUAACCAGAAAGGGACGGCUAACUACGUGCCAGCAGCCGCGGUAAUACGUAGGUCCCGAGCGUUGUCCGGAUUUAUUGGGCGUAAAGCGAGCGCAGGCGGUUAGAAAAGUCUGAAGUGAAAGGCAGUGGCUCAACCAUUGUAGGCUUUGGAAACUGUUUAACUUGAGUGCAGAAGGGGGGAGUGGAAUUCCAUGUGUAACGGUGAAAUGCGUAGAUAUAUGGAGGAACACCGGUGGCGAAAGCGGCUCUCUGGUCUGUAACUGACGCUGAGGCUCGAAAGCGUGGGGAGCGAACAGG